UGCCCAGCAAACUCCUAUCCCUACCUCCUCGCGGUACUGGCCGGGGUACGAGUAAUCUUAGGGAAGAUCGGGUAACCAACCCCCGGUGAGAACUUUGGUCGUAUGCUGACAGGGAAGA
rfam:Aedes aegypti strain Liverpool supercont1.223 genomic scaffold, whole genome shotgun sequence.